CAAGACAGCACCAACAAAGAUGGUUUUAAGUUCAGUCAUGAAACUCUACAUGAUCAUGGUGGUUUUCACCAUAACCUCAGACUUCAGAAAGGUGUCAGGUUCCUCUCUCAGUGACAAAGUCCACCAGAAUCCAGCUGAGAUGUUCCUAAAAUCUGGAGAAACCGCAGACAUCAACUGUUCACACAGUAUCGACAGCUACGAUCGAAUCCUCUGGUACAAACAAUCAGACGGACGCCUGCAGUUCCUCGGAUACAUGUUUGGGACCAGUCCGUUUCCAGAAAAAGGAGUGAAAGUGAAGAUCGCAGGAGAUGCAAAUAAAGGAAAAACCUGCACGUUAACGAUUGAAGAAGUCAGCAGUGCAGUUUACUUCUGUGCUGCUAGUCUCCACAGUGAAACAUCUCAGAGCUCCUCAAUACAAAAACCUCCUCACAGCCCUUCUGCACCUGCAACCAAACCAGGAUGUGCUCUCUGA